GACGAACGCUGGCGGCGUGCUUAACACAUGCAAGUCGAACGGAAAGGCCCUGCUUUUGUGGGGUGCUCGAGUGGCGAACGGGUGAGUAACACGUGAGUAACCUGCCCUUGACUUUGGGAUAACUUCAGGAAACUGGGGCUAAUACCGGAUAGGAGCUCCUGCUGCAUGGUGGGGGUUGGAAAGUUUCGGCGGUUGGGGAUGGACUCGCGGCUUAUCAGCUUGUUGGUGGGGUAGUGGCUUACCAAGGCUUUGACGGGUAGCCGGCCUGAGAGGGUGACCGGCCACCUUGGGCCUGCGGUACGGCCCAGACUCCUACGGUAGGCAACGGUGGGGAGUAUUGCACAAUGAGCCGAAGUCUGAUGCAGCAGCGCCGCGUGCGGGAUGCCGGCCUUCGGGUUGUGAACCGCUUUCGCCUGUGACGAAGCGUGAGUGACGGUAAUGGGUAAAGAAGCACCGGCUAACUACGUG
rnacentral:rRNA from 1 species